ACAAGAAGCAGAGGACUCUCUGUUGCUGGUUUUACUAGUCCAGCCAAUAGAGCAUGAACUUGUUCAAGUACGUACAAUUGGAGCUUGGGAGUCGACAAAUUUCUUCAGAAAUUGGACACUCAACUUAACAUUCUUAAUCGGCGCUAAUCAUGGCAGCAUCGCUUUGUAACUCGCCUUUGGCGAAGCAUUACCCCGCCAUACCUUUUGUUUCUAAUACGUCGAUUAGACAGAAAUGCUCUUGCCAAAAAAGCCUAUCAGAUUCCCCUUUUCUUGGUUCAGAGCAACUUCGAAUGUUGGUUUCCAGGACCAAAGCGUCGACUAAGGGGAGCAGUAGCAAUAGAGUGCGGUAUGUGCGUGUGGUGGCUUCGCUGGGAGGUUUAUUAGGCGGGAUUUUUAAAGGUUCCGAUACUGGAGAGUCGACCAGGCAACAGUAUGCUGCAACUGUUAGCACCAUUAAUGGAUUGGAAGCGAAGAUGUCUGCAUUGUCGGAUUCGGAACUGAGGGAGAAGACUUUUGUAUUGAGAGAACGGGCACAACAGGGCGAAACUUUGGAUUCUCUCCUUCCUGAGGCAUUUGCUGUUGUGAGAGAGGCUUCAAAGAGGGUUCUGGGCCUUCGACCCUUUGAUGUCCAACUGAUAGGUGGCAUGGUUCUUCAUAAGGGAGAAAUAGCUGAAAUGAGAACUGGAGAAGGGAAGACACUGGUUGCUAUUUUGCCAGCUUAUUUAAAUGCUUUAAGUGGAAAUGGCGUUCAUGUUGUUACUGUCAAUGAUUAUCUGGCUCGACGGGAUUGUGAGUGGGUUGGCCAAGUUCCUCGCUUUCUUGGAUUGAAGGUUGGCCUCAUCCAGCAGAAUAUGACUAGCGAGCAAAGGAAGGAAAAUUACUUAUGUGACAUAACUUAUGUGACGAAUAGCGAGCUUGGUUUUGAUUAUUUAAGGGACAACCUUGCCACGAAUGUAGAGGAGCUUGUCUUAAGGGGCUUUAAUUACUGUAUCAUUGAUGAGGUUGAUUCUAUUCUCAUUGACGAAGCUAGAACUCCUCUCAUUAUAUCAGGACCUGCAGAGAAACCCAGUGAUCGAUAUUAUAAGGCUGCAAAAAUAGCAGCAGCCUUUGAACAAGAUAUACAUUACACUGUGGACGAGAAACAAAAAACUGUGUUACUCACUGAACAGGGUUAUGAAGAUGCUGAAGAAAUUUUAGGUGUUAAAGAUUUAUAUGAUCCUCGAGAACAGUGGGCUUUGUAUAUCCUAAAUGCAAUAAAAGCCAAAGAACUGUUUCUUCGAGAUGUAAACUACAUAAUUCGUGGAAAAGAGGUUCUAAUUGUGGAUGAGUUUACUGGUCGAGUUAUGCAGGGUAGAAGGUGGAGUGACGGACUUCACCAAGCAGUUGAAGCAAAAGAAGGGCUGCCCAUUCAAAAUGAAACUGUGACAUUGGCUUCAAUUAGUUACCAGAAUUUCUUUCUGCAGUUCCCAAAACUGUGUGGAAUGACUGGUACAGCAGCAACCGAGAGCACAGAAUUUGAGAGCAUUUACAAGCUUAAGGUUACAAUUGUGCCAACUAAUAAGCCUAUGAUAAGAAAGGAUGAAUCUGAUGUUGUUUUUAGGGCAACAAAUGGUAAAUGGCGUGCUGUUGUUGUGGAGAUUUCUAGAAUGCACAAAACUGGUCGUCCAGUACUUGUUGGCACCACCAGUGUUGAACAGAGCGAUUCUUUGUCUGAACAAUUAAAAGAAGCUGGAAUUCCACAUGAGGUUCUUAAUGCAAAACCAGAAAAUGUCGAGAGAGAAGCAGAAAUUGUAGCACAGAGUGGUCGUCUUGAGGCUGUGACAAUUGCUACCAAUAUGGCUGGUCGUGGGACAGAUAUAAUUCUUGGUGGUAAUGCUGAAUUUAUGGCAAGAUUAAAGCUACGUGAGAUGCUAAUGCCACGAGUUGUCAAGCCAGCUGAAGGAGUCUUUGUAUCAGUAAAGAAACCUCCUCCCAUGAAGACAUGGAAGGUGAACGAGAAGUUGUUCCCAUGCAAACUAUCAGAUGAAAAUACCAAGUUGGCCGAGGAGUCUGUGCAAUUAGCUGUUAAAACAUGGGGUCAGAGAUCAUUGACAGAGCUUGAAGCAGAGGAGCGCCUAUCAUGUUCUUGUGAAAAGGGUCCUGCUCAGGAUGAAGUCAUAGCUAAGCUGCGGGCUGCUUUUCUGGAAGUUGUUAAAGAAUACAAGGUCUACACUGAGGAAGAGAGGAAGCAGGUUGUGGCAGCUGGUGGACUGCAUGUAGUGGGCACAGAGCGCCACGAAUCACGGCGUAUUGAUAAUCAGCUGCGUGGCCGAAGUGGGAGACAAGGAGAUCCAGGAAGCUCACGCUUUUUCCUGAGUCUUGAAGAUAACAUUUUUCGGAUAUUUGGUGGUGACCGAAUUCAGGGUUUAAUGCGAGCUUUCAGAGUUGAAGACCUGCCUAUUGAGUCCAAGAUGCUGACCAAAGCAUUGGAUGAAGCUCAAAGGAAAGUGGAGAACUAUUUCUUUGAUAUUCGGAAGCAAUUGUUUGAGUAUGAUGAAGUCCUUAACAGCCAAAGAGACCGUGUUUAUACCGAAAGAAGGCGAGCCCUUCAAUCCGAGGAUCUCCAAUCUCUUAUUAUUGAAUAUGCAGAACUGACGAUGGAUGACAUUUUAGAGGCCAACGUUGGUUCCGAUGCUCCAAAAGAGAGCUGGGAUCUUGAGAAACUCAUUGCCAAGAUUCAGCAAUUACUAACGGAGAUAAAUAUUCAGAUAUUGCUACCUGCUAAAUGAUCUGAGCCCUGAUUUGCUAACAAGCAACUGUUCAGAUUAUGAGGAACUACAGAAUUAUCUGCGACUUCGCGGCCGUGAAGCCUAUUUGCAGAAAAGGGAAAUUGUGGAGGAACAAGCACCCGGGCUGAUGAAAGAAGCUGAGCGUUUCCUUAUAUUGAGCAACAUUGAUCGCUUGUGGAAGGAACACUUGCAAGCACUUAAAUUUGUGCAGCAAGCUGUAGGUUUACGUGGAUAUGCGCAACGGGAUCCACUCAUUGAGUAUAAGCUUGAGGGUUACAACCUUUUCUUGGAGAUGAUGGCGCAGAUAAGAAGGAACGUUAUAUAUUCUAUAUACCAGUUCCAACCAGUGCUGAUCAAGCAAGAUCAGGAAAAAAUGGAGAAAGAAAAAUCAGGUAAACCUAAAGCACGCAGCCGGGGAAAUACUAACCCUGAUCCAGUAAGCACCGCAUAGCCUUCGACAGCGGGGCAGUUCCUAUGCGAACGGAAGACAUGCAUCCAGAUCCGGGGUUUCCAUUGAGGCGUCUAAUGGACUGGAACUACUUGUGAAGCUCUUUGAAGCUUGUUACUGUGAAGUAGAUUUCUGAUAGCUAGGCUGGUCGAACAUUGAAUGUAAAGUUUGCACAAAGGCACCUCACAAAAUAGCAUAUAAAGAGAUUAUAAAAAUGCUUAAAAAUGGAGUCCGUUUUGGGGCCCAUCUCAAUAUACAAAGCUUUCUGCCAUUUAA